GACGAACGCUGGCGGCGUGCUUAACACAUGCAAGUCGAACGAUGAUGCCAGCUUGCUGGUGGAUUAGUGGCGAACGGGUGAGUAACACGUGAGCAACCUGCCCCUGACUUCGGGAUAACCGCGGGAAACCGUGGCUAAUACCGGAUAUGACGCGCUAUCGCAUGGUGGUGUGUGGAAAGAUUUAUCGGUUGGGGAUGGGCUCGCGGCCUAUCAGCUUGUUGGUGGGGUGAUGGCCUACCAAGGCGACGACGGGUAGCCGGCCUGAGAGGGUGACCGGCCACACUGGGCCUGAGACACGGCACAGACGCCUCCGGGAGGCAGCAGUGGGGAAUAUGGCACAAUGUGCGCAAGCCUGAUGCAGCGACGCCGCGUGAGGGAUGACGGCCUUCGGGUUGUAAACCUCUUUCAGUAGGGAAGAAGGCCUUCGGGUUGACGGUACCUGCAGAAGAAGCGCCGGCUAACUACGUG
rnacentral:rRNA from 1 species